rnacentral:misc_RNA from 1 species
GAAAUGCGAUACGUAAUGUGAAUUGCAGAAUUCAGUGAAUCAUCGAAUCUUUGAACGCAUAUUGCGCUCUCUGGUAUUCCGGAGAGCAUGCUUGUUUGAGUAUCAGUAAACACCCUCAAGUCUUUCUUUUUUUUUAAAAAAAGGAUGAAUUGGAUUUGAGUGAUCCUAACGUGUAUAUAUUAUUAUAUAUAUGGCAGGUCACUUGAAAUACAGGUGCAGCUGAACUUUCUUCUGAGCUAUAAGCAUAUUUAUUUAGUCCUGCUUUGCGGCUGGAUUAUUACUUUUGCUGCAGCUAACAUAAAGGUUGAUUGUUCAAAUGCUGACUGAUUCAGGAAAUUUAUCAGUAAAGCUGAAAGGCAAAACUGUAAAUCUCGAUCUCAAAUCAAGUAAGACUACCCGC